rnacentral:lncRNA from 1 species
CCUAGAUCAUAAUGGGCCUCAUUAAUUAUGAUGACGAGCUUGUGCUGUAUCUCAUAAGUGAUGGGGACUCAGAGAAGGACUUCAAACAGGGAGAGACCAGCAGAUUUCAUCAAACCUCACACGCUCACCAAGCGUGCCUUUAAAAUCCACAGACACAUGUUACUGGGGAAUAUCUGUGAAGCCUCAAAAUCCAAGACGUCUGAGGCCGUCAGUCCCUGUGUAAGGAGAGGUUGGUAUUGCAGAGCCAAAAGCCAAAGUCGACUGAAAACAACUUAUCUGCCUUGUCUUUUGUAAGAAAACUAAACUUAUGGAUUGUGCUGGGUCUCAUGGCGGGGAUGGGGGAAGGCAGGAGAGAGGGAGAAUGGGGCAAAUUCCCCUGGCUUAAAAGGGGGCAAGGGUCAGAACGUCAUUUUGGUAGUGGAGAGAAUAUCUGCCCCGCUCCUUUGCAGCUGGGCUCCCGGUAAGAUUCCCAGAAGGGAAUGUUUGUUGCUGCCCCCGGGGAGUCUGGACUCAGGCCCUGCAUUUCCAGCCCUUGUAGAGGAUUAUUUGUCCUGAGCAUGACACAGAAGCCCUGGAGUUGCUGGGCUUUAAGGGGCCACCAGCUGGGCCACCACUAGCCCAUAUGAUGCCUUUGUGCUAAUUAGAAAAAGGUACCCUCUUCCUUAUUUAAAUCAUUUAUUGUUAGGUUAGUAUAUUCCUAAUAUGGGCUGAAUCACAUUUUCCCAAAAUUCAUAUGUUGACACCCUAGCCCCCAGUACCUUAGACUGUGACUGUGUUUGAAGAUAGGGCCUUUGAGGAGGUAAUUACAUUAAAAUAAGGCCAGGCAUGGUGGCCAAGACAGGUGGAUGCCUUGAGGCCAGGAGUUCGAGACCAGGUUGGGCAACAUGGCGAAACCCCAUCUCUACUAAAAAUCCUAAAAAUGCGCCAGGUAUAGUGGCUCAUGCCUGUAAUCCCAGCUACUUGAGAGGCUGAGGCAAGAGAAUCACUUGACCCCAGGGGUCAGAGGUUGCAGUGAGCCCAGAUCAUGCCACUGCACUGCAGCCUGGGUGACAGAGCAAGACUCCAUCUCAAAAAAAAAAAAAAAAAGUUAAAAUAAGGCCAUUAGUAUGGGCCCUAAUCCAGUCUCACUGGUGUGCUCGUAAGAGGAGGAAAUUUGGGUUCACAGGGAGACAUCAGGGACACGCAUGCAUGGAGGAAUGACCUUGUGAAGAGGUAGCAAAGAGGCUGCCAUCUGCAAGCCCAGGGGAGAGGCCCCAGAGGAAAGCAACUCUGUUAGUGCCUUGAUCUUGGCAUUCCGAACUCCAGAACUGCGAGAAAAUAAAUUUCUGUUGUUUAAGCCACCCAGUCUGUGGUGC